UGGUGGAGUGAUUUGUCUGCUUAAUUGCGUUAACGAACGAGACCUCAGCCUACUAAAUAGUUAUGCGAACCUUCUGCUUGGGUGAAGGGGAAGGGGCAGUCGUCGCUCUAGGGCGGAGGCACCCCCGGCUUCAGAUCCUUGAUGCGUUCGUAGCAAUACUUCUUAGAGGGACAAUUGGUAUCAAGCCAAUGGAAGUUUGAGGCAACAACA
rnacentral:rRNA from 1 species